rnacentral:rRNA from 1 species
ACGUCUAAUUUUUUAUUUAUUAAAUUAGAAGUGGUGUACAGGUGAGUACAUGAUAUUUUAACUGCCUUAGAGUGAGGAUCUAAAUUCCUUAUAAUGAAAGAAAGUAGUAAAAAUACUUUUGCUUUAAGAUGUUAAUGAAUAUCUCGGGUAAGUAGUAGUUAAGGUAAUAGCUUAACUAGCUUAAAAGCCCGUAGUCGAGACUGAGAGGUCGAUCGAUCACAUUGGGUCUGAAAAAACCCCAAUACGUAUAGUACAGCAGUGAGGAAUAUUGGUCAAUAGCCUAACGGCUGAACCAGCAAUUUGGGGGAAUGUAUAGUAUAUACUAAUUGUAUUUUAAAUACAAUAUCGACUAUGUCGAAUAAAGUUCUAGAUAGAAUACUGAUAAUGACAAUUUUCUAUCUAUAUGUCUUGACCAAAUCACGUGCCAGCAGUCGCGGUAAUACGUGGAAGACUAGUGUUAUUCAUCUUUAAUAGGUUUAAAGGGUACCUAGACUGUAUUUCUAGCCCAAAUAGGGUACGGAUUUACUAGAGUUUAAUGUAAGAAGAAAAAAUUAAGAGUGAAAUUUUAAUUUCAUUUUUUGUAGUACUUGAAGUGUAGAGAUAAAAUUUUGUAAUACUUUAAGGAAACUGGUGAUGCGAAAGCAACCUUCUAUGUAUAAACUGACGUUGAGGGACGAAGGCUUGGGUCGCGAAUAGGAUUAGAUACCCUAGUAGUCCAAGCAGAAAAUUAUGAAUGUCAUAGAUCAGAUAUAUUUUGGUUUAUAAAUGAAAGUGUAAGCAUUCCACCUCAAGAGUAAUGCGGCAACGCAGGAACUGAAAUCAUUAGACCGUUUCUGAAACCAGUAGUGAAGUAUGUUAUUUAAUUCGAUAAUCCGCGAAAAACCUUACCACAAUUUGAAUAUAAAAAUUACAAGCGCUGCACGGCUGUCUUCAGUUAAUGUCGUGAGAUUUUGGUUAGUUCCAUUAAAUUAACGUAAACCCUUGCUUUAUUUAUAAUAUUUAUAUAAAGUAGCUCACCGCUAUAUUGGAUAUGAUAAAAGGGAAU